rnacentral:rRNA from 1 species
CCUACGGGGGCUGCAGUGGGGAAUAUUGGACAAUGGGCGAAAGCCUGAUCUAGCCAUGCCGCGUGUGUGAAGAAGGCCUUCGGGUUGUAAAGCACUUUCAGUGGGGAAGAAAGCCUUGGGGCUAAUACCCUCGAGGAAGGACAUCACCCACAGAAGAAGCACCGGCUAACUCCGUGCCAGCAGCCGCGGUAAUACGGAGGGUGCGAGCGUUAAUCGGAAUUACUGGGCGUAAAGCGCGCGUAGGCGGUCUGAUAAGCCGGUUGUGAAAGCCCCGGGCUCAACCUGGGAACGGCAUCCGGAACUGUCAGGCUAGAGUGCAGGAGAGGAAGGUAGAAUUCCCGGUGUAGCGGUGAAAUGCGUAGAGAUCGGGAGGAAUACCAGUGGCGAAGGCGGCCUUCUGGACUGACACUGACGCUGAGGUGCGAAAGCGUGGGUAGCAAACAGGAUUAGAUACCCCUGUAGUC